AACACAAUGGAGCAUCCAAGUUAAAAUUGUGCAUUAUUGGACUCAAUAUACGACAUACACAGGGGAAACAAUAUAAAUGUUUCUUGCUGAUACAUCUGUAAGUAAAUAUCCCAUUUUCAGUUAGGUGAAAUCGUUGAGUAAACAUCAAUGUCAUCCUAUUAUUAACACGAGUGUUUUUUACUCAUAUACAAGGUACUUUGAUCCAUGCCAAUAUUAAGAAACAACAAGUGAACAAGCUUCAGAGGUUUAUCGUUUCUGGAGAGUGGCGUAUUGUCGAGAAUUUUACACUUGCCAAAUCAAUAGAAAAAUACCGUUUUGAUGUCAAAUUUAUAGUAUAACCGCAUAAAGAAACGAUGAAUGUGGUGUUCAAGAAAGUUUUUCGGAACCUAUAAGACUAAGGGUUGCAAGAGACAUUUGUUCUAAGAGGUACAAGCUGGUAUGAAAACGUGCCUUUGGCAAGUAAAGGAGUUACUGAAAUCAGUUUUCAAAGAAGAAAUGAAGUGUUUAGAAUCGCCAUUGAGUUAUUUCCAUUUUCCUUUUCAGACAAUCUUAAACAUUAAAAACAAAACACCUUAACUUUGUUUUCCAAAAGUUAAUUGUGUUUGUAACUUUAUAUUAGGCAAUUGGCAGUUAAUGUGUUCAUAUACA